rnacentral:rRNA from 1 species
UACGAAGGGGGCUAGCGUUGCUCGGAAUCACUGGGCGUAAAGGGUGCGUAGGCGGGUUCUUAAGUCAGGGGUGAAAUCCUGGAGCUCAACUCCAGAACUGCCUUUGAUACUGAAGAUCUUGAGUUCGGGAGAGGUGAGUGGAACUGCGAGUGUAGAGGUGAAAUUCGUAGAUAUUCGCAAGAACACCAGUGGCGAAGGCGGCUCACUGGCCCGAUACUGACGCUGAGGCACGAAAGCGUGGGGAGCAAACAGG